AGAGCCGUCCUCACUGGCUUCAUUCAUCUGUAGCCAGGCACUGCGCGGGGCACAGGGGAUGCAAAGUUAAAUGAAUCAUCGUGCUUGACCUUGAGAAGCUCCCAGUCCAGCCAGGGAAGCGACACAAUCACUGUACAGUAUGGACCAGUGCUUGAAAUCAAUGGUAUGAAAAACUGGAGUUUAAAGAGAUGAAAACACAAGACCUAAGACAAAGAAAAGCCGUCAUAAUCUUUCUACUCUACAGACCUUUAUACACCAAUCGCCCCGAGAGGUUGGGUCAAUGGGGCAGGCCAAUAUUUCCACCUGGCUGGAGAAGCAAAACUGGUGCCCCAGAGGAAUCCACGCUCUCACGUGAAAUGGACCAGAGCCCUGAGGAUGUGCCUCAUGUGACAUCAUCAGGCUGCAUCAAAAAGGCUUGCCGACCCCUGCUCAGUGCCAUGCUGCCUCUUAAGGAUAACCCUUCCUGCAAAGACAACUUUCUUUUCAGAAAAGUUAUGCUACAGAACGGGCGCCCAGCCCUGCAGCAAUCCAUCUUGGUCUCGGAUUCUGACGUUCCCUCUGCGUACUGAGCCCGCCCUGGGCUCUCCCAGCUGUCACCUGACUUCUAGUGCAAUUUGAAAGACAGAGCUGAGGGCAACCUUCAGACUCUGCCAGGCAGGGACAGGCCAGAGCAAGCCUGGGAGGAGAGAGAAAGGGAUUUAGACCCAGAAGUCAGCUUGACUGCUUUAACGCCUUCACCCCUUGAUUCAUGGUUUCCUGCCACAUCUUGUUCAGCUGUGAACGUGCCUGGGCUCCAAGCAGGGACAGGCAGGCUGAAACCGAUGAAAGUACAGGGGCCUCAUACCCCACGAUGUUUUAGCUGGUCUCCACCCUGGCCAGCCUGAAGAGGCCCAGCUCAGCAGAGCCGCCUCUGGGGACCUUGGGCCAUUCCCUCCUUUUCCGAGCCUCAGUCUCCUGAUCUGUAAAAUGAGAGGUUAGCCUGGCUGUUCUAUUCCCCGCAUGGCCCCCACACCUGCAGAAAGCAGGUGUUCCCCUUCAGAUUGCAUACAAACUCCAGGAGAUUCUACAACAGCCUCUGACCUUCCUGUGGGGUGAGUUCCAAAGAGAUUUCACUCUUUGUGGCAUUCUUUCGUUCAGCAGAAAUGUUUGAGCACCGGCUGUGUGUCCAUCUCUACAGAGAUAUGAAGCAAGUCAAAGUAACAGCAGAGCUCUGCAUUUGUGGCAGGAUACAAGAUGUACCAGAUGAGAAGCUACAGAACCAUCCCAGCGAGUCCAGAUUCCUCGGACAAUGCCGAGUGCCCGCCGUACAUUGGGCACACACGCUCCAGGUGCAUCCCACCUGCGUGCGUUCACUGAAGCCACAACACACUGCUGUGGCCCAGGCAGCCCCAGGCCCAUUUACAGAUAAGGAAACUGAGGCUCUGAGAGGUUGCUUGAGAUGGAAAGGCUGUUAAGAGGUGAAGCGAGGCUUUCACUGCAGGUCUUGUUGGUUCCAAAAUCUGUGCAUCCUGAGUGGAUACAGGAUAGGGAUGUUAAGACAAAUCUCUUGGAGAAGAAAAAUCUUCAUUCCACACUUAUACAGCAGCAGAAAGAGCAUGGGACCAGCAAUCAAAAAUUCUUCUAGGCCUACCUCUGCCUUUCAAUGAGCCACACAGCCCUGGGGAGACUUUUUCCCUCCCAGGGUCUCAGUCUCCCUAUCGAUAAAACUCCAGAGAAGCUGGACAACGUGAUCUCAAAGCCCCCGCACUCUGCUUCUCUCUGCGCUUGCUUCACAGGCAUGUUCAGCUCUGGCCCUGAACCGCAAAGCUCAGCCCUGGUGCCCAUAACAGCACCUUGAAAAGACAGAGAAGCACUAAUGAAACUCCGUGCUUGAGCUAUAUGGGUUUAAACCACAAAACGAAUUUUUUUUUAAAUGGAGACUAAAGAUGUUAUAUAUAGAUGCUAGUUCCAUCACCUUGGCUUUCAUGGAAUUCUUUCCAAGAGUAACUCGGAAUUCUGUUGAAUUUGAGUGUUCAGAGCCUCCUGCCGCCUCAGAAGCGAGACACCUGGAUGUGGAAAAGAAAGCUGGGAAUGGGGUGAGGUGGCAGAAGGGGACUGAGGCCUGAAGGAUUUAGGUGACUGUGGUCAUGAGGCCCUGUGCCAAGAGCUGGUGCAGAGAAACACCGCACAGACCUUCCAGCUGCCUCCCCAGGAGCCCUAGUCUGGUUCCUAUUAAUUAAUUGCUUGAUUAUUGAUCAUCCUUUCAAUCUUAUGGGCUGAAAACUAACAUGAUAAGAGAGGAAAAAAAUAGCAAGACUAUUCACAGAUUUUUAGAUGGAGAAGAAAAUGAGGGCGCUUCUAACUUGGCACCCUUACCAAACAAAGAGCAAGUGUCGGGGAAGGGAGGUGACUUGUCAAGGCUUGCUGGCAGGGAGCUCAAGUCUUCCCUAGGCCCUGGGCCCUUGUUCUUUGGAGGCUCUCCAUCAUGUCAAGCAUGUCUAAAUGUACCCACAUUGAAAGAAUUUUGUCCACGUAAUCUCUAAAGCAUAUUUCUAAUUUAGCUUUUGAAGUGUUUUGACUAUCAGCAAUUUAUUAAAUUUAUGGUUGCUUGUGCAUCCCUGGUAUUUUAAUAAAUAUUUCUAAUUUAGCUUUUGAAGUGGUUUGACUAUCAGUAACUUAUUAAAUUUGUGGUUGUUUAUGACUCCUUGGUAUCUUAAUAUUUGUAGUCCCUGGAAUUCCUGCAAAAUACAAAAACCUCAACUAAAAGUUGUUUUCAUAGGAAAAUUUUAAAUGCUAAAUUUAAUAGUUAAUGAAGGUGACAUAAGAAGUUUUGGUUAAACAUAUUAAUUUUGAUCUUGCAAUUUCUUUUUGGUAUCUUUUUUUUGGUGGGGGGGAUUCAAAGUGUCUUAACGCCUGCAAAGCUCAGAAGUAAUAGGCACUGAGAGCUAGUGACAGCAGAGGUAGAAACUCACACCCACUACUUCUGAAACCAAUGCACCCUGCAGAAUGCCCGUCCUAAAAGGGAAGAGAGAUCUGCGCCCCCCACCCUC